ACUGGACUAAUGCUGCAGCUCAAAGCUCUCUUGUGCACCGAGGGGGAAUUAACGCACAGCAAUUACACCUCCACACAAUCCCGGCUGAAAGAAAAGAUGUUUGGUGGUCAGGAGGAUCGGAAGAUAAAGGGAAACCAAAUAGAACACUCUGUUUGGAUGCACUUGAUUUUCUGUUUUAUUUAUAGCCAGAAAUGACAGAGAUGAAACAUCCCCGUGUUUAAUCUCCCGACUCUCAGCCCCAAAGCAAGACUGUACUGUACUCCUCCCACCAGAGCAGAACAAGAGUUAGAGAGCAUGUGUGCCACGCUUCAAAACCAGCAGAAAUGCAUGGCCUCCUUCUUUCUCCAUCCCUCCUGUGGUGUGAAUUGGACUGUGGCACUCUAAUCGGAGGGUCAUCUGCCUGGCCUGGCUGCACAAAUGAUGGCUGCCUGCCUGCUGCUGAAUUAUGAAUGUGAGGGAGAUGAAUAUUUCAUUUUCCUCUUAGCUGGGGCCUUUUGGCAGCAAGGGCGGGGUACAGUCAUGUGACCUGCAUGACCACGGACAACUCAUUUCUUAUUGAUGCAGGCAUUUAGCUGAAUUGAGCUAAUAAUGAGGCUGACACAGCUUAGCACACAUUCGUAGAAACUCAGCAUUGGGAGACGUUAUCUGAAAAUGCAGGAGGUUUAAUUAACCAUCUGUAAUCCAGGACGCAACCAGUGACAUACGGUAUGAAGACAAGCUGCUGUGGGUUUAUUCACACUUCCAAAUCAUCCCACAUCCCAGUUGAAGUCAUUCAGCUGCCCAAUUGCUCGAUAUGGCGAUUCAUUCAGAAAGGGAACAGAGCCACUCAUGUACCACUCAGUGCCUUCCACACUAGCAUGCACAUGUAUGCACUCACACACACCCACACCCACACAUCCUCCUCCACCUUGUCAUCAAGUGGCUAACAACCAAAGCUGCGAUGAGCCAAAAGCAUCUUUCCUGGUGUUCAGAUGUAAUUAUUUCCAUUGUUUAAUCAAGCACACCAUUUAAUCAUUGAAUUUGAAUAGGGCUUUUAGUAGUGGCCAACAGGACAGGAUGACCAUGCAGAGGCAGCCAAGCAUCGCCUCUCCUCUACUUAGCCCAUCACAGUCCAUCAAAACAAUUUCACACAUGGAGAGCAAACCUUAAUGGCACUUCACAAAUGGUGCUGAGGCCCAGCUCACCCUGGGGAGGGGGUGAAGGAGUGAGCAUGGGAGGGGAACCUUAGUGCAACAAUGGCGCAUUAGCGUGACCGUGAAGGAUGUGUUCCUCAUGGUCCCAGCAACAGACAACUACAUACAGCACAUGCUCAGAUAGACACUUCAGCUCGCAAACUGUACCAUGCCCUCUAGGCCAACAUGUAGAAUAACUGUAUUUUAUGUAGCCUCUGGGUUGCACACACAGCAAAGAUAUGUAGAGUGCAACUGCCAGCCCUGUGAUCGCUAUUUUGCCCCUGGCUGCACUACUGUCCGAGAUCAAGGCUCACUUUGUGCCAGGAAAUGUAGUUAGAUUUCAGGCAACCCCUCUGGUGCAGUACUCGUUAGAUAUUGCCCCUGUACACCAUUCACAUGAUCAUCAGUUAACCACCCUAAGCUUACAUACACUGUAUACUGAAUAUCAUUAACUCAUGCUUACGUUUUUUUGCAGGCAAAGUACAGAAUCAACAUCACUGCUGAUCAUUUUAUUCAGAAAUUCAAUCAGUUGGAUACAAACCAGCUAACAAUUUUAGCUUAGCAGAAUGUUUUAAUGUUUAAUCUUAUGGUUCUAGACACGUCCGUUUCUAAAAUUGUCGGUUUGUGGAUUAUUUGAGAAAUUGUUUUAGAAAUAUUCCUACAACAUCGCUCCAAGUACUUCCGUUGUAGGAUCAUUAACACUACAAUUUCUACCAUGUUAUUUGGGAACAUUAUAUAAACGUUCUACUAAUAUAAAAACAAAACAUUAUUACAGCAGAGGUUUUAGAACAUUGUAGCAAUGGUAUUUCUUCAAACAAGC
ensembl:lncRNA